UAUCUUGCGUCUGGUGUUGGUGCCUGGGCAUCCGUCCAGGCUGAAAAGGGAACCCGGUGCAAUCCGGGGCUGCCCCGCAGCGGUAAUCGAGAACCCCGAAAUCCGCCAAAGCGCACUGGGCGUGCGGCCUGACGAGCGUGCUUCGCACGUUCGUUGGAACGUAAGCCUGGGAAGCGGUGGUCAGUAGGAAUCCCGUUUUGUGCUUCGGCACUUACGGAAAUGCUCGGAAGCCCGAAGACCUGCCAGCAUCCGGCGUGAGGA
rnacentral:ncRNA from 1 species